rnacentral:rRNA from 1 species
ACUCAAAUGAAUAGACGGGGACCUGCACAAGCGGUGGAGCGUGUGGUUUAAUUCGAUACUAAGCGGAGAACCUUACCCAGGCUUGACAUCUCUGGAAGUCCCGAGAAACCGGGAUGUGCCGCAAGGAACCAGAUGACAGGUGCUGCACGGUUGUCGUCAGCUCGUGCUGUGAAGUGUCCCGUUCAGUCGGUUAACGAGCGCAACCCUUACCCUGUGUUAUACAUGUCACAGGGAACUGCCCCAGUUAAUGGGGAGGAAGGUGAGGAUGACGUCAAAUCAGCGUGGCUCUUACGCCUGGGGCCACACACGCGCUACAAUGGGUAGGACAAUGGGUUGCCAAGCCGCAAGGCGGAGCUAAUCCCACCAAACCUAGCCCCAGUUCGGAUUGGAGGCUGAAAUUCGCCUCCAUGAAGUCGGAAUCGCUAGUAACCGCCGGUCAGCUAUACGGCAGUGAAUACGUUCUCAGGUCUUGCACACACCGCCCGU